rnacentral:snRNA from 1 species
GUGCUCGCUUCAGCACACAUAUACUAAAAUUGGAAUGAUACAGACAAGAUUAGCAUGGCCCCUGAGCAAGGAUGACACACAAAUUCAUGAAGCGUUCCAUAAAAAA